UAAAGGUAUUCCGGUAGACGAUGGGGAUGCGUUCCAUUAGAUAGUAGGCGGGGUAACGGCCCACCUAGUCUUCGAUGGAUAGGGGUUCUGAGAGGAAGGUCCCCCACAUUGGAACUGAGACACGGUCCAAACUCCUACGGGAGGCAGCAGUGAGGAAUAUUGGUCAAUGGGCGAGAGCCUGAACCAGCCAAGUAGCGUGAAGGAUGACUGCCCUAUGGGUUGUAAACUUCUUUUAUAAAGGAAUAAAGUCGGGUAUGGAUACCCGUUUGCAUGUACUUUAUGAAUAAGGAUCGGCUAACUCCGUGCCAGCAGCCGCGGUAAUACGGAGGAUCCGAGCGUUAUCCGGAUUUAUUGGGUUUAAAGGGAGCGUAGAUGGAUGUUUAAGUCAGUUGUGAAAGUUUGCGGCUCAACCGUAAAAUUGCAGUUGAUACUGGAUAUCUUGAGUGCAGUUGAGGCAGGCGGAAUUCGUGGUGUAGCGGUGAAAUGCUUAGAUAUCACGAAGAACUCCGAUUGCGAAGGCAGCCUGCUAAGCUGCAACUGACAUUGAGGCUCGAAAGUGUGGGUAUCAAACAGGAUUAGAUACCCUGGUAGUCCACACGGUAAACGAUGAAUACUCGCUGUUUGCGAUAUACGGCAAGCGGCCA
rnacentral:rRNA from 1 species